GUGGGGUAAUGUCCUACUCCGGCGACGACGGGUAGCCGGCCUGAGAGGGCGACCGGCCACACUGGGACUGAGACACGGCCCAGACUCCUACGGGAGGCAGCAGUGGGGAAUAUUGCACAAUGGGCGAAAGCCUGAUGCAGCGACGCCGCGUGAGGGAUGACGGCCUUCGGGUUGUAAACCUCUUUCAGCAGGGACGAAGCGAAAGUGACGGUACCUGCAGAAGAAGCACCGGCCAACUACGUGCCAGCAGCCGCGGUAAUACGUAGGGUGCAAGCGUUGUCCGGAAUUAUUGGGCGUAAAGAGCUCGUAGGCGGCUCGUCGCGUCGGCUGUGAAAACCUGGGGCUCAACCCCGGGCCUGCAGCCGAUACGGGCGAGCUAGAAUUCGGUAGGGGAGACUGGAAUUCCUGGUGUAGCGGUGAAAUGCGCAGAUAUCAGGAGGAACACCGGUGGCGAAGGCGGGUCUCUGGGCCGAUAUUGACGCUGAGGAGCGAAAGCGUGGGGAGCGAACAGGAUUAGCAUCACCCUGGUAGUCCACGCCGUAAACGGUGGGCACUAGGUGUGGGCCACAUUCCAAUGUGGUCUGUGCCGCAGC
rnacentral:rRNA from 1 species